GUCUUUGUCUCUCGCUCCCGCCAGAGCUUGGGAUCGGUCUUCACUGUUCCGCGUCCUCCACCUGGGAACCCCCGACCCCCGCCCGGCGACUUUGUCACAGACUCUGUUGCCUUGUGAUCUGCAGGUCCUGGGAGACGCACAGCUAAGAUGCCAGGGCAACCUGGAAGCUGUGAAGUG
rnacentral:lncRNA from 1 species